UAAAAAGGGAGGGAGUUUGAGUGAAACUUUCUCACCUUGGGGAAAGGUGCUGUGGGAAGCUACUGAACCACAGCUGUGUUGGAGAGACAGGCGAGGCAAGUUUCCUGUAACCACUGACGAGUGGGAAAGGAGACAGGUUCGUCAUGAGACAACAGAUAAGGAUUGGUACACCUCAGCUACUGUACCAACAUGUAAUGACUUGUCAAUAACCAGAAGUCAGACGCAAGUUUUAGUUAAAACAAAAAAAGGCUGGAGGAAGCUGGAUGUCUGGAGAGACUCACUCAAGAAGAGUGAUGGUGUUUUAAUAGCAGUAAACUUGGAGUGGGAUCGGCACGCGGAGACCCCCAGGCUAUUUACAAGGGACACCGUGGCUGCGCCAAGGCCACAGGUGGAUUAAGAAAAAUGUGUAUGAUGAAGCUCUCUGCCUAAUUCUCCUCGUCUCUACAGGCAGCAGAGAUUCAUGGAUUCCUGCGGAGAGUGGGAGGAGGAGGAGCUAGAUCGGCUCCUCACACGACCUCCUGAUAAGACUUGCUGGGAGAGUUGGAGAGGAGGUAUCUUAUGUUGUAUCGGCUUAUUAAUCUGUGUGGUAGCGAUAUCUUUUAUCUCAAAUGCCUGUUUCACGAGUUGUAACACUCAAGACCACGGCUGUGGUUAAAGGGUGGGUUCACAAGCGACCAGGAACCCUAGACCUGCCUAGAGUGUCGUGCUUGACUCCUCAUGAGGAGAACUUUAAUGCCACUCAGUGGAUGGAAUAUUGUAAGGCUGUUACACAGGGCUGUCCAAUCCCUGAUCCAGGCGAGGCCUGUAGCCCCACAUCUACCGGCUGGCUGAUGUGGUUAGAACAGCUCAAUAAUGUCAACGACAGCCAUAACUCUACUUAUGGGCUGUUAGGAUGGGAGGAAGGAAAGCUUAAAGUGUGGGAUUUCACAGUUGAUGUACAAUCUGUGGAAUGUAUUACUAAAAUCUACCAUUUUGGGGUACUAACUGUCUGGGGAGAAUAUAUAACUGGUUUUGAUAAGGUUUCUGAUUGCAUGAUAUUCAGACUCCUUGCGUUCCCGAAUGGAACUGCAGCUGGGAAUGAUAGCUGGGCAAUGGAGGGGGGUUCCCUACCCCCCAUGUCGCAGCUGAUUGCUCCACAAGACGCAGACACGGCUGUGACCCCUCACUUGAGGAGGCAGACGCGUGCUGCUAAAGAGCAGACGAAAGGCCACAGGCUUCCUAGUCCACAGAGUAUUUGGUUGGACAGAACCAAAGCUUUUUCAGCUUACAAAAUGAUCCCUUUAGGAAAGGGAAAACAACUGUUACCCAUGACAUUGCAUGUAACCCCAAAGGGAGUUAAAUUAAACUUCAUUCAUGCUCCGCAUGUGCUGAACAGGAGCUUGAUAGAUGGAAUGACAGAAUAUUUUAUGAUCAUCCCACGUCUGGCCUGGGACAAAGGAGAGGCGGAUAGCGUGUGGAGAUGUAUUAAGAAAUUAACUAGUGACCCAAAAUACCCCAGAACAUGGUGGAAUAAUUAUAUAUGGAAGUUAAUGUCCUUAGGUGGACAUGUACGAGGUCCUUUUCCUGGUAUGAUUCCGAAAACGAGUCAUGAUGCAUGGCUUGUGAAUAGCACAUCGAAGAGAUGGGCUCUGAAUGUGUCAUAUGAAAUGUGGACGGAGGAUGUUCAUGGCUUAAUGGGACAUUUUGCCCCGAACGGGUUUGAUAAGCCAGGGCGAGUGACAGAGUACGAUGUCCUUUUUGGACAAUGGUGGGCUACCAAUCUGACAGAAGAGGUGUUAGAAUGCAGGCCUAAAGAGAGACUCGGCUCUACAAUCUUUUGGAUGGCUAAUUUACUGGCGUUGUUGAACCCAGCUACAGUCCCAACGAUUAAAGAUGUAAAUGUGAAAAAAGGUGUAAAUAUGACUCCUCCGUUCGUGAGGAUGGAGAAACAUGGCAGUUUAAUAGAACUGACUAUGGUCCGAUCUCAAGGUCCGCAUCUAGAUGAUUUGUACUCCACCCCAGCUUAUUCAAAGUUUCGGUUUAUGAAUAUGACAUGGGGGCAUUAUACUGGAGAGCUGCGAGACUUGGAGUAUGAUUAUGCGUAUCGCGAACAAGCUUUACGAUUCAGGGAAGCACAUUGGGUGCGAAAUUCUCUGUUAACCAGGUGGUGUAGGUCUGAUGCGUGUUUCAGAACUUUGGCCCAGCCCGCUACGAAAAUUGCUGUCAGAAAUGGGAAAAAUGUGUAUAAUCCUUAUGAACUGGGCGGCUUUGUUGACCCUCACGGUUACCCCCACUGGUGGCACUCAAAUUGGAGCAGCUACGUCGUAUGGGACUCAGAGAAUUUCCCAUCAUUAGGAGUAGGAUGGGGUUACUUUGCCAACUCGAAAGGCCCCAAGGCUUGUUUUUGUCAGGAGGACAUAGAUGCUGUUGAAUACAGGAGCGACUUGGGUAUAUGGCCCUUUCAAGCAUGGAUUCCUGUUGGUGGGGGUCGUUGGGAGCAGAACUGUUCUGGUUCCUUUCAUUUUCCCAAUCGGACAGGCACAUGUUGGUUGAGUGAAAGAGCUAGGAUGUCUGAUUGGGAAUUUGUCCAGAAGGGUUUUAAAAUUAUUGGCCAGGGAUUAACCUUAGGUAUCAGAGAGGCCGUUAAGGUGGUCGCCCAGGGAGCAAUGGGUGUUGCCUCUCUGAUAAUCUCUGAAUUAUGGGUUUACACCAAGGUCCCUGUGAUCGUAGGAGGGGUCCUGGUGAUGUUAUCUGUUUGUGUUAAACUCAUGCAUCUUUUGAAGUGUUUUGCCAGCUGCAACAGGAGAUCUGCUAAUCAGCCCCGAUGGCAGGAGGAAGGGCCUCCUGAGUCAAUUAGAUUGGGACCACGUGGACGCCGGGCACUCAGGAACAGAGCUGCACGCAGGUAGCAUCUCCCUUGAAGAGAAAGUUCUCAAGGUAUCAUGGCCCGUGCAGAAUCUCCACGUGAGGUAUUUGGAGAAGCAGAUGAGGAUGUGCUGAUUACCUCGGUAAGACUGUCUCUAUUAGGUUAAUCUUACCGGCGAGAUAUGCUAAUAUUAGACGCACAAGAGGCCUAACUGAGGACUCUUGGAAUGUUGAUGUGAUAACUUCUGCUUAAUGCAUGAUGAGAGAAUGAUUGGUACAUCCUGUUAUCUGAUCAGGAUGGAAAGGCCCACUUAUUCAUUGUGGUUACUAAUUUGCAUGCUGUAACUUGUGUAAUUCCUGCGGGAAGCAGUGAAGACCUGUGACCUGCAUUAGAGGUCUCUAGGAUUUUUACAUACCUAUUAGUGGUAUGUUUGAUAUCAUUAUAUGGAUGUGUUGUACUAACAGAAUUAAUGAUGAAGAAGUGUCUGGCUGCAUUUUGUGAGAAAGACCUGACCUCAAGUUCACAGAGGAUGUGUCUCUGUGUGUGUUUUUAGGUUGAUGAAUCAGAGGAUCUAUUGCCUGGCCCAGACUCUCAGGAGAUGCUGGUGCUGCCACCCAGUGGACAGAAGCCGCUGGUGAACAAGCGACGUCAGCCUGGGGUGAUACCACCCAAGAGAGUUUCACUUUACGGGCUGGUGGAUGGUAAACCUGUAAGGAUAAACCUGAAUGGACCGUGGAACGCACAUGUUUGGGAACGUAUUGUGUUGGUCUCUGAUGGUACCAGUCAUAAAGGGACUCGAGUGGCGAGGAGGGCGAAGAGCCAAGGCGUGUGGUCAGGAUGCAACCAUCACCUGCUAAAGUGGACGUUCCGAUGCAGGAAGUGAGCCCUCCGGAGUUCGAUCUGCGUCGGCAGCUUCAGGCCGCUCCGUCUGUCCAGGCCAUAGUACCACCAGUGAUGAAUGCAAUAAAUCCACAUGUUUACUUGUAUCCAGGAAAUUUGAAUAUGCAGUAUUUCCCGCAGUUUAUGCCGUUUAACGAAGCUUGGUUUCAAGGGGGGUGUUGAAUAAAGAUUUUCGAUUCCUCCAGACCUGUCUUAUUAUAUAAUAGCAGUUCUGGAUUACAUCUCAAAUCUGUAUGUUAGUGAAACCAGGCUUCAGGGUUCAGCUAGAGGUCUGUGUGUGGUGAUUUGACUCCUGAUCUCAUGCUGCCAUAAAUGAUGUGUGUGUUUCAACUAAUCUGCUAUCCAUGACAAAUUUAUGUUGUAGUUUAACCUUGUAUCGACUUUUUAUGGUGUAGCCUAGGAUGUGAUAAGAACUUCAGGGACACGUAUAGAGAUGUUUAUGUUUGACUUCCUUUGAUCUGAGCUGAAGAAGGAAGAAGGAGGAGGGAAGACCCCCGCCCAUCUGGCUGAUACCGGAGGGGGCUGGGAGAGGACCCAAGGCCGGAGAAUGCUUCCGAGGCAGGGGUUGCCAUGGAGACGGAAGGGGGGCUAGGAGGAGAGAGUUGAGGAGAAUAAAAGGGUGAGGGCUCCGUGGAGAGGGGCUCGGUCUGGGGCUUUUUGGGUGUUUGAGAAGAGUUCGGAGGACAACUGUAACGGUUGAGUGAUCUGACCCGCUGCGUCGGGAAAUCUGGAAUAUUUUUACUUCAUCAUAUAAAAUAAAAUAUUUGCUCCUUCAUAUAAGGGGCUUUAAACGGAA